UACGUAGGGGGCAAGCGUUGUCCGGAAUCAUUGGGCGUAAAGCGCGUGUAGGCGGUUCGAUAAGUCUGCUGUGAAAGUCCAGGGCUCAACCCUGGGAUGCCGGUGGAUACUGUCGGGCUAGAGUACGGAAGAGGCGAGUGGAAUUCCUGGUGUAGCGGUGAAAUGCGCAGAUAUCAGGAGGAACACCGAUGGCGAAGGCAGCUCGCUGGGACGGUACUGACGCUGAGGCGCGAAAGCGU
rnacentral:rRNA from 1 species